AGUUUAGCGUAUUUGCUUACCGGAAAGAAGCCCCGUGACAUAAAUGGCACAGGUUGUCAUGAGGAACAGUCCCCGCGUCGACAUACUCGCUGCUCAGAGCGCCGGGCGCGCAGGACUUCGUGAAGGUGAUAUAAUCUAU